rnacentral:rRNA from 1 species
CCCUUAGAUGUUCUGGGCGGCCCGCGCACUACAAUGGCGUGUGCAGCGAGUGCCGAAGUAGAGUUUUCCGAGGUAUUCUUGCAAUGCUCGUUUUGAUGGGGAUAGACCCUUGCAACUGUUGGUUUUGAACGAGGAAUUCCCUGUAAGCAUGGUUUAUCAUCCGACGCUGAAUGCGUCCCUGCCCUUUGUACACACCGCCCGUCGCUCCUACCGAUGAGUCGUCCGGUGAAGUUCGUAGACCUCGUGAUCGCGGAUCACUGGGGGAAGCAAAAUGAACCUCGCGGUUUAGAGGAAGGAGAAGUCGUAACA